rnacentral:rRNA from 1 species
GUCCACGCCCUAAACGAUGCAUAUUUGGUGUGGGCAGUUCAUUCUGUCCGUGCCGGAGCUAACGCGUUAAAUAUGCCGCCUGGGGAGUACAGUCGCAAGGCUGAAACUCAAAGGAAUUGACGGGGGCCCCGCACAAGCGGUGGAGCAUGUGGUUCAAUUCGACGCAACGCGAAGAACCUUACCUGGGCUCGAACGGCUUCCCAACGACUGUGGAAACAUGGUUACCCCGCAAGGGGGUGGAGUCGAGGUGCUGCAUGGCUGUCGU